GGAUCCCUAGGCCAGGCCGCUGGAGCCUGCUGGGGCCUCCUGGCUACAGGGAGCAGCGAGGAGCGGAAGAGCUGGCCCCGCGGUCGCCCAGAUACCUGGAUCUAAGCUACAAACCAGUUAACGUAAAACGGUCGCUAUGGCAACGUGCGUAGCCGCCCCAGGCUGCGGCCCGGAAGUGAAGCUGGCUUCCCUGGAGUCUGCGCUUCUCAAAGGAGGCGGGGGGGGGGGGGAACGGGGGCGGGGAGAGCGUUAGAAGAACGUUUCCGAUUGGUUGGAAAACAACAGCAGCGUAUCAGAAGAUACCUCUCCACCCAUUGGUUCGGAGUUGCUAAGGCCGAGAGUAGAAGUAUAGGCAGCUUUUGGCUGGAGACCCUGGUAGGAAUCUGUGUGUUCCCUCCUGGGAAGUCCCUGGGAGCCAAGCCUUAGAAAUGGCGGAGUGAGGGACCACAGAGUCGACAGAAGGCCUCAAAGACUUCAUUUCGUCGUUGUAUCCCAGCCCCUCAGUCCCAAACACUGAGAAUCGCUGACCCAGAAGCCUUUGUAAUUGAAGGGUUGUCUGAAAAUACAAAGCUGACCAAAGCUCUGUAAGACUUGCUGUUAGGCUCUGCGGCCAAUUUGCUUCCUGUAGCUCCAGACAGGUCUUUAAAAGUUCAAGCACAAAUGGACAUAACUACAAUUAGCUUUUCAAGGGUAAAAUCGAAGUUAAUAUUCAUCUUACAUCAAAUAAUUCCAACUCAGUUUCCAGGUUGUGAUCUAUUGUGGAAUGAGUCUUCAAAGGUCAUCAUCAAGGUUCUCGGAGUCCUGGGAUAUCUUCAUACAACAUGGUUCCGUGAAUGGAGUCCUUAUAGGCUUAUGUACAAGUGGAGCAUCAUUUCAAGAACUUGCACUUGCAAUAUCCCCCUUGUUUUGAGGUCCUGGAGAUUUUCUACUUUCUGAAUUUAUGCAUUUAUAAAGGAAUGUCAAAAUUUGUGAGGAAAUGGAUAUGUUCACGCUGAAUAUUACUCAAUGUACACCUGUAUCAAAACAGUACAUGGUUCCUUAUAAAUAUGCACUAGAUCAAUUAAAAAUAAAUGUUGGGGGGCAGGCA
rnacentral:lncRNA from 1 species